GAGGGGCUGGCCUUGUUAUAAAGCAAGCCCUCUCUGCUCCCUUGCUGUGCCUCCCUGAGUGAUGGUAGCAGGCAGGUCCUCACCAGAUGCCAGGCAGAUGCCAGCACAUUCGCUCGGAGCCUCCAGAACUGAAAGAGGAGACGGAAAUGUCUGCAGGGUGUCAUGGUAUUGACACAUCUUCCCUUUGAAACCUUGAGCACGGACACAGUCCUGGAUUGGAGCACAGUACGGACCACAGGGUGGCCCUCGGUCUGUUGAUACUGAUGAAGAUCGGUCGUUGAUGAAGAACUAUCAAUAUGCACCUCUGUGGCUAAGGGGGCAAGUGGCUCCACAUGGCGCCAUCGUGUGAGAUGUGGCUCCAGACAUCCUUCUAGCUUCCUUCCCUCCUUCGCCAAAGGGACUAGAAGUUUUCUUUCAAAUAUGCUUUAAAUGGGGGGAUGAGGAGCUGCUGGUGGGAGAUGCAGGAAGAGGAAGGCAUCAGCAGCACCAGGGAGGUGUCCAAGAAGCCGCCACCUGGAGCUUAGGAUGAAGAUGAAGGGUCCACUGCCUCUGUCCUGCGUGGACUCCAAGAGCAAAGAAGGGGUGCUAUGGGAAAUGGGAUCUGGAGGGCUUUUCUCCCCCACGGUGCCUCUCCAUUCUCCAAAUAGGGCCUUUCAGACAAACAAGGGGGUCUUGUUCUCCCAG